rnacentral:lncRNA from 1 species
CAAAUUCACAAAUCAACAAAACAAAUUCAAUCUUUUAAAAUUCAUCCUGUUUCUUCCCACUGCUGAAUCUCCAUCGGUAAUUCUCAUAAACUUGUAUAGUUUUAUUUUCAUAUGCAAAGAUCUCUGCUUUCUUUUAAUUUACAGAAAAACAACCAAACUCCCACAAAAUUCUUGUUUUUACAAAUUCAAACAUGCAUACACAGGUAUUUAAUUCAUAAGAAAUCGAAAAGGAAUACAUAUUCAUUAAUUUUACAGAAAACAAACUUAGAUUUAGAAACCUUUGUUGAUAAAGGGAGUUGGGAUGAAGUGGGGUGAUGAGCUACUCGCCGGAGCUAUGACCGCCGCCACAUAUGAGAGGCAGCGGCGGAGAGGAGGGGAAGCGGUUGAACAGCACCGCCGGCGCUUCACGCCACGGCGGCCGGCGAAGGAGAAGAAGCAGGGCACAGUCCAGAUCUGGAAGAGGCGCGAUGGCGCCGCUGCCGUAUGUUGUUGUCCGACCCGGAGAGAGAGGCUGAGAGGGCGUGACAGAGUGAGAUGUCGAGAGUGAGAGGGAGACUAGAGGUGAGGAAAGGGAGAGAAGGUGAUGGCGGCAGUACAGGAAGGGAGGCGGCUGGGCGCGCCUCCGUCGACACAGGGACGGCGGUGGUGGCGUUGCGGUCGGCCAAGAGGGAGGAAGAAGAGGAGUCGCCGGCCUCCGGCGACGGUGUGCCGGCGAUGGCGGCAGGAGGCCGAGGGAGAGAAAGGGGAUGAGAGAGGAGAGAGUAGCUGUUAGAGAAGGGAGGGUGUGUGCGUGAAUUAUGUGUGUGUGAUGGAAGUAGAAGUCAAAAGUGGGUAUUAAAUUAGGGUGAAGGGAAGAAUGGGCUUGGGGUGGUUUUUAUGGGUUUUAAAUUUAGGUUUAAUUUUAUUAAAUGUUUGGGCUUAAAUCAACUUAUUUUUAUGGACUGCAUUUGCAUACAUUUAUACAAAGGAUAUCAUUAAAUUUUUAUAUUUCGAUUUACAUUAUUAACUUAGUUUUAAUUAAAUAUUGAGCUCAAAUAUUAUUAUAAGAAAAAUUCUUUUAUAAUUUAUUAGACCAAUGAUUUUUCCAAAUGAUUUUAUUAUAAUAAAUUCUUAAGAUUUAAACUACUAUUAUUAUUAUUUUUAAGUUUAAUUAGGCUUUAUAUUUAUUAUUUGAAUUUAUCUGACUAGGUGCGGCGCGACUAGGACAUAACUGUUGAUCUGAAAUUAUUCAAGUUAUCUAUCAAAGCUCAAGUUUCAGGUGUGGGAUUUAUUUCAGUACAUGCACGUGGUUAAUAUUUGUCCAUUUUAAUAUUAUGUGUUUACCGUAUGUGUUGUAAAAAUAUUUAUCGCUAGGGGCCAGCAUAAUUGGUCCAGGACUUCACCGUCCUUGGUAUGCCACAAUGCGAUUUCAUGUUACAGGGUUGCAACCAUUAUAUUGUCGCCAGGGAUCCAUAUAUAGGGUCCGGGACAUUAAAGUCCUUGGAGUUGCCACAGUGCGUAUGGAAGUUAUGUUACGUUAUGACAAUAUGUGUUACCAUUUUAUUAACAUGGACAACUAUUGCAUGUUUCCACACUGAGUGUACCCUGUAUGCUCAUCCCAUAUUCAACAGUUUCAGGUGAUUGAUAUCGGAGGCGCGUGGAGAGUCGAAUGGGCGCGUCACAUCUAUUUAAAAAUAAAUGUUUCUUAAAACAUAUUGUAUUAUUUCAUGUGAUAUUUUUGGUUAUGUAAACUCUGAAAUUCUAUAUUAUUUGAGAUUUGUGUG